rnacentral:rRNA from 1 species
AUUGAACGCUGGCGGCAUGCCUUACACAUGCAAGUCGAACGGCAGCACGGGUGCUUGCACCUGGUGGCGAGUGGCGAACGGGUGAGUAAUAUAUCGGAACAUACCCUAGAGUGGGGGAUAACGUAGCGAAAGUUACGCUAAUACCGCAUACGAACUAAGGUUGAAAGUGGGGGAUCGCAAGACCUCAUGCUCAUGGAGUGGCCGAUAUCUGAUUAGCUAGUUGGUGAGGUAAAGGCUCACCAAGGCGACGAUCAGUAGCUGGUUUGAGAGAACGACCAGCCACACUGGAACUGAGACACGGUCCAGACUCCUACGGGAGGCAGCAGUGGGGAAUUUUGGACAAUGGGGGCAACCCUGAUCCAGCAAUGCCGCGUGAGUGAAGAAGGCCCUCGGGUUGUAAAGCUCUUUUGUCAGGGAAGAAACGGUCUACUCUAAUACAGUGGGCUAAUGACGGUACCUGAAGAAUAAGCACCGGCUAACUACGUGCCAGCAGCCGCCGUAACAC